AUUGAACGCUGGCGGCAUGCCUUACACAUGCCAGUCGAACGGCAGCACGGGUGCUUGCACCUGGUGGCGAGUGGCGAACGGGUGAGUAAUACAUCGGAACAUGUCCUGUAGUGGGGGAUAGCCCGGCGAAAGCCGGAUUAAUACCGCAUACGAUCCACGGAUGAAAGCGGGGGACCUUCGGGCCUCGCGCUAUAGGGUUGGCCGAUGGCUGAUUAGCUAGUUGGUGGGGUAAAGGCCUACCAAGGCGACGAUCAGUAGCUGGUCUGAGAGGACGACCAGCCACACUGGGACUGAGACACGGCCCAGACUCCUACGGGAGGCAGCAGUGGGGAAUUUUGGACAAUGGGCGAAAGCCUGAUCCAGCAAUGCCGCGUGUGUGAAGAAGGCCUUCGGGUUGUAAAGCACUUUUGUCCGGAAAGAAAUCCUUGGCUCUAAUACAGUCGGGGGAUGACGGUACCGGAAGAAUAAGCACCGGCUAACUACGUG
rnacentral:rRNA from 1 species